rnacentral:rRNA from 1 species
UACGUAGGGUGCGAGCGUUAAUCGGAAUUACUGGGCGUAAAGUGUGCGCAGGUGGCCGCGCAAGUCGAGUGUGAAAUCCCCGGGCUUAACUUGGGAAUUGCGCUCGAAACUACGUGGCUGGAGUGUGGCAGAGGAAGGUGGAAUUCCAGGUGUAGCGGUGAAAUGCGUAGAGAUCUGGAGGAACACCGAUGGCGAAGGCAGCCUUCUGGGCCAACACUGACACUCAUGCACGAAAGCGUGGGGAGCAAACAGG